GAUCUGGGGUGCUUCUGCCACUGCAACAGCCUGAAUAAAAUCAAUGCCUUUACCUCCUUGUGUUUUGUACUUGACAGUUCAGUGCUGUGGCUGGACGGGGCUGGGAGUCCAUCUGGAUCCCCGCUUCUCCAUCCAGAUGCUGAAGCCCCUCCAGCCUGUCGUGUUCCUUUCUCAUCUGGCUUUCCAGGGAUCCCACGCGAGUCCCGCUCCUGGUCCUCUGCUCUGAACAUUUGUCUGUCGUAGCAUGAGGCUCAAUGGCAUCCCUUUUCUGAUCUUCAGAUUUGAGACCUAAUUUUCUGGAAAGAUACCACUGAACACUGAUCUUGAACCAGGAGAAACAGACCUUAUACUGCUCUCUGAACCACCAUAUUGCCGCAAAACUACGUGGAGUACAACCUUGUGUUUAUGUUUCACAACUAAAAAAAUUAAAAGCCUUGUUUUGAAUGGAAAUCCAUUCUAGUGGGAGGUUUUAAACUGAGGGUCCAUGAAAGCCCCCAGAAGCAGAUGACACCACAAAGGAUACUGCUUUCACAAGACUCAGAACAGAACGUGAUCCAGCAGCCCCAGGAAAAACUGCCUCCAGCUGAAUUUGUGCACAGGGUCAAAUCUGAGCCAACGACUUUACAUGUGGACUAAUGGUGGCGCGGAUCUGGAUCCCCAUCGCCUCAUUUCCAGACAGAGUUUUUCCAGCACAACCUCAUGAUGGUAUUGAGUAAGAGGAGGGACUGGCGGCAAUGUUGAACUUUACCUGAGCCGUGGUCGUUCCAGAAAACCGUGAAGGUUAAUCCCCUAACCUUUUGUUCUCCAAAAUCUCUUACCCUAUCCUUUUGUGUUCUGGGAAACAGCUUAUUGCAAAGAACAGCCCUGCCCCAUGACUUAGAUAAAACCGUUGUCCACUUGUCUUUGUGACCCCACAAGAAUCACGAGUGACCACAUAAUUUGCCGGUGACCAGGCCAA